rfam:Naegleria gruberi genomic scaffold NAEGRscaffold_55, whole genome shotgun sequence.
UGGAAAUUAGCUUAGUUUGGGAGAGCAAGCUAUUGGCAAUUACAAUAGUAGGUCAUCGGUUCAAGUCCGAUAUUUCCAA